rnacentral:rRNA from 1 species
GACGAACGCUGGCGGCGUGCUUAACACAUGCAAGUCGAACGAAGAGCGAUGGAAGCUUGCUUCUAUCAAUCUUAGUGGCGAACGGGUGAGUAACGCGUAAUCAACCUGCCCUUCAGAGGGGGACAACAGUUGGAAACGACUGCUAAUACCGCAUACGAUCUAAUCUCGGCAUCGAGGAUAGAUGAAAGGUGGCCUCUACAUGUAAGCUAUCACUGAAGGAGGGGAUUGCGUCUGAUUAGCUAGUUGGAGGGGUAACGGCCCACCAAGGCGAUGAUCAGUAGCCGGUCUGAGAGGAUGAACGGCCACAUUGGGACUGAGACACGGCCCAGACUCCUACGGGAGGCAGCAGUGGGAAAUCUUCCGCAAUGGACGAAAGUCUGACGGAGCAACGCCGCGUGAGUGAUGACGGCCUUCGGGUUGUAAAGCUCUGUUAAUCGGGACGAAAGGCCUUCUUGCGAACAGUUAGAAGGAUUGACGGUACCGGAAGAGAAAGCCACGGCUAACUACGUG